rnacentral:lncRNA from 1 species
CACUGCUUUAUUGGUACCACUUCUGAGAAGCAGCAAAGCAGACAUACGUCUUUCUCUAUCAUCUUCUCUGUCUCUCAAUCCCUCUCAAUGACAAUGACUCAUUCUCUCUUUCAACCUCUCUCCCUUCCUCUCUCCUACCCUCUACCCUCAUUCCCACCCCCUUAUCACUACACUAAGGCCAGCAAGAAGCCACAACCACAGAAGAGCUUCCAGGCAGCAGUGAAGCAGUUCAGUCUCAAAGAAAGCCAGACAGGAGUCCAGAUGCCUGUGUUCCUUCUGGAGUUCGCUAUAUGACCUCACUAUAAUCCCUUUACCACUGUGGGCUUAUUUUCUCAUCUGGAGGACGAAUGGGCUUCCAAAAUGUCUGUUGCCAAGAAGUAUAUCCAACUAGACCCUCGGCCCAUGUUUUAAUUUUUAUACACUGUAAUUAAAAGCAGAAUGACUUGCUUUCA